UACGUAGGUCCCGAGCGUUGUCCCGAUUUAUUGGGCGUAAAGCGAGCGCAGGUGGUUUAUUAAGUCUGGUGUAAAAGGCAGUGGCUCAACCAUUGUAUGCAUUGGAAACUGGUAGACUUGAGUGCAGGAGAGGAGAGUGGAAUUCCAUGUGUAGCGGUGAAAUGCGUAGAUAUAUGGAGGAACACCGGAGGCGAAAGCGGCUCUCUGGCCUGUAACUGACACUGAGGCUCGAAAGCGUGGGGAGCAAACAGG
rnacentral:rRNA from 1 species